rnacentral:rRNA from 1 species
UACGUAGGGGGCAAGCGUUGUCCGGAUUUAUUGGGCGUAAAGCGCUCGCAGGGGGUCAGUCGCGUCGUGCGUGAAAGACCCCGGCUCAACUGGGGAGGGUCGUGCGAUACGGGCGGACUGGAGGCCAGUAGGGGGAUGCGGAAUUCCGGGUGUAGUGGUGGAAUGCGUAGAGAUCCGGAGGAACACCAGCGGCGAAGGCGGCAUCCUGGACUGGUCCUGACACUCAUGAGCGAAAGCGUGGGGAGCGAUCCGG